GGCGGACAUGCGCUGCUUACACAUGCAGUCGAACGAGAAAGCUUCUUCGGAAGUGAGUAGAGUGGCGCACGGGUGAGUCACAUGUAGAUAACCUGCCCUUUAGCCUGGGACAACCCUUCGAAAGGAGGGCUAAUACUGGAUAAUACCUUGAAUCGAGUGGUUUAAGGUUGAAAGAUUUAUCACUAGAGGAUGGGUCUGCGUACCAUUAGCUUGUUGGUGGGGUAACGGCCUACCAAGGCUCCGAUGGUUAGCGGGUCUGAGAGGAUGAUCCGCCACACUGGAACUGAGACACGGUCCAGACUCCUACGGGAGGCAGCAGUGGGGAAUUUUGCGCAAUGGGCGAAAGCCUGACGCAGCAAUACCGCGUGAGUGAAGAAGGCCUUUGGGUCGUAAAGCUCUUUUAUAAGGGAAGAUAGUGACGGUACCUUAUGAAUAAGCACCGGCUAACUCCGUGACAGCAGCCGCGGUAAUACGGAGGGUGCAAGCGUUGUUCGGAUUUACUGGGCGUAAAGGGCACGUAGGCGGCAUAGCAAGUUAAGGGUGAAAUCCCGGGGCUCAACUCCGGAACUGCUCUUAAAACUGCUAAGCUAGAGAUAGUCAGAGGCGGGUGGAAUUCCAGGUGUAGAGGUGAAAUUCGUAGAUAUCUGGAGGAACACCGGUGGCGAAGGCGGCCCGCUGGGGCUAUUCUGACGCUAAGGUGCGAAAGCGUGGGGAGCGAACGGGAUUAGAUACCCCGGUAGUCCACGCCGUAAACGAUGAAUACCGGCUGUUUGAGGCAUCGACACCUCAAGUGGCGCAACUAACGCGUUGAGUAUUCCGCCUGGGGAGUACGGUCGCAAGACUAAAACUCAAA
rnacentral:rRNA from 1 species